CCUAACCUGUCUCACUGGGUCGUACAGUACUGCUCUUAACCUGUCUCACUGGGUCAUACAGUACCGCUCCUAACCUGUCUCACUGGGUCGUACAGUACUGCUCCUAACCUGUCUCACUGGGUCGUACAGUACUGCUCCUAACCUGUCUCACUGGGUCAUACAGUACUGCUCUUAACCUGUCUCACUGGGUCAUACAGUACCGCUCCUAACCUGUCUCACUGGGUCGUACAGUACUGCUCCUAACCUGUCUCACUGGGUCGUACAGUACCGCUCUUAACCUGUCUCACUGGGACCAAGGGACUAUAACUCACCCUCACUGGGCCGGACUGGAAUGUCAGCACUAUUUCUGCCAGCCAGGCAUUCUCUCUAAUGACAUGGCACCAUUUCAUCCCUCCAUCCGUCCAUUCCUUCACUUCAUCACUCUAUCCUUCCACUCCAUGUACUUUUUAAUGGCCAGUCAUUUCAGAGCUGACGCAAUGUGUUAGGAGCAGUACUGUACGACCCAGUGAGAUAGGUUAGGAGCGGUACUGUACAGGUUAAGAGCAGUACUGUAUGACCCAGUGAGACAGGUUAGGAGCAGUACUGUAUGACCUAGUGAGACAGGUUAGGAGCAGUACUGUAUGACCCAGUGAGACAGGUUAGGAGCAGUACUGUACGACCCAGUGAGACAGGUUAGGAGCAGUACUGUACGACCCAGUGAGACAGGUUAGGAGCAGUACUGUAUGACCCAGUGAGACAGGUUAGGAGCAGUACUGUACGACCCAGUGAGACAGGUUAGGAGCAGUACUGUAUGACCCAGUGAGACAGGUUAAGAGCGGUACUGUAUGACCCAGUGAGACAGGUUAGGAGCAGUACUGUACGACCCAGUGAGACAGGUUAAGAGCAGUACUGUACGACCCAGUGAGACAGGUUAGGAGCAGUACUGUAUGACCCAGUGAGACAGGUUAAGAGCAGUACUGUACGACCCAGUGAGACAGGUUAGGAGCAGUACUGUACGACCCAGUGAGACAGGUUAGGAGCGGUACUAUACGACCCAGUGAGACAGGUUAGGAGCGGUACUGUACGACCCAGUGAGACAGGUUAGGAGCGGUACUGUACGACCCAGUGAGACAGGUUAAGAGCAGUACUGUACGACCCAGUGAGACAGGUUAGGAGCAGUACUGUAUGACCCAGUGAGACAGGUUAAGAGCAGUACUGUACGACCCAGUGAGACAGGUUAGGAGCAGUACUGUACGACCCAGUGAGACAGGUUAGGAGCGGUACUAUACGACCCAGUGAGACAGGUUAGGAGCGGUACUGUACGACCCAGUGAGACAGGUUAGGAGCGGUACUGUAUGACCCAGUGAGACAGGUUAAGAGCAGUACUGUAUGACCCAGUGAGACAGGUUAGGAGCGGUACUGUACGACCCAGUGAGACAGGUUAGGAGCGGUACUGUACAGGUUAAGAGCAGUACUGUAUGACCCAGUGAGUCAGGUUAGGAGAAGUACUGUAUGACCCAGUGAGACAGGUUAGGAGCAGUACAGUACGACCCCGUGAGACAGGUUAAGAGCGGUACUGUAUGACCCAGUGAGACAGGUUAAGAGCAGUACUGUAUGACCCAGUGAGACAGGUUAGGAGCAGUACUGUAUGACCCAGUGAGACAGGUUAGGAGCAGUACUGUACGACCCAGUGAGACAGGUUAGUAGCAGUACUGUAUGACCCAGUGAGACAGGUUAGGAGCAGUACUGUAUGACCCAGUGAGACAGGUUAGGAGCAGUACUAUACGCCCCAGUGAGACAGGUUAAGAGCAGUACUGUAUGACCCAGUGAGACAGGUUAGGAGCAGUACUAUACGCCCCAGUGAGACAGGUUAGGAGCAGUACUGUAUGACCCAGUGAGACAGGUUAGGAGCAGUACUGUACGACCCAGUGAGACAGGUUAGGAGCAGUACUGUACGACCCAGUGAGACAGGUUAGGAGCGGUACUGUAUGACCCAGUGAGACAGGUUAGGAGCAGUACUGUACGACCCAGUGAGACAGGUUAGGAGCGGUACUGUAUGACCCAGUGAGACAGGUUAGGAGCAGUACUGUACGACCCAGUGAGACAGGUUAGGAGCGGUACUAUACACCCCCUCUCGACUCACAUACACUGGGAAUCAAUGUCCCCCUCACCACGAUACCAAGGACUGGUCCACCGCAGGGUGGGUUUAUUAAAACUGACCUGUGUGUGUGUGUGUGUGUGUGUGUGUGUGUGUGUGUGUGUGUGUGUGUGUGUGUGUGUGUGUGUGUGUGUGUGUGUGUGUGUGUGUGUGUGUGUGUGUGCACGCAGAUGCACUGGCUAUGCGUGUGAUUGAUAAUCACUAUGGUUGUGAUUGAAACGACUGUCCUGACUCUUACUCAUCCAUGUUAAUGGACAUUUUCCCAGAGCUCAAACGGGACCAUACAUUCUAUCCGUCAAAGUGUCUAAUGAGAAACUUUCCAUUACUUUAAGUGAUCAUGGAAAGAGGGAUAGAUAGAAAGACAGAGGGAAAAGACGAAAGGCAGGAGGACCGAGAGAGAAACAGAAAGGCAGAGUGAGAAAGAGAGAGACAACACUGAGACAAGGAAGAAGAUGUGAUCUGUCAUUCCCAAGUCAUCAGAGCCACAGCUCCAGUCACAUCCAGAAGGAAAAUUAGUUCAGCUCUGUUGUGAACCUGAGCAGUAAUGACUUGUAUAUAAAGACCCAACCCCAGUCAGAUGUCUGUGUUACCGUUGAAGGAGCACAAUGAUGACGUCACACAUGGGGUGUUGUUUCAAGACCGAGUCACAGUUACAAGACACUCAUAAUCACACCAUGCCGAUGACUUUUCGCCCUUUGUUGUCAAUACAAAAUUAUGUGCCAACAUUCUAAACUGUACUUUUGGGUGACAUACGGACCACAGAAGCAAAAAGGAAACAUAUUUUCAAGUGCCAUAAAAACCAUGUCAGUACAUUUGAUUCUUUAUACAUUUGAUACUGUGAUGUUGUAUAAUUUGUUCAAAUGUGUACAGUUCCUGUGUACAAUGAGGAACUUCACAAUGUUGCCUUCAGAUAGCAUACUGAACAUUGAUUUUCUUUCAUAACUAUUUUGACUUUGCUGCUCUUAUCCAUUUGAUAAAGUUGAUGCCACUGACAGUCUGUUUAUAAACCACUUAUAAACAGUAGUACAUCAUUUAGGUCAGUUUUUCCUGAAAUACUCUAGCAAAGUAUUGAUUGUUUUUCUCCACACCAACAAACUGUCAUACUGAGGAACCUUAAAGUCCAAGGCUACUUCCUGUUCAUAAUACUGUGCAGUAAUACAUCAUGGAAAAGCACAAUAACUUUUAUUUUUCUUAUUUGAAAAGUAGUUGUACUGUAACGUUAUCUAUGUAUAUUUGUGUAAAUAAUCUAUUUGAAGGUAUCUUAUCCAUGUGGUUUUAAGGUUGUUGUUUUUUCAUCCUUGACACAGGCCUUUGACGUGUUGGUUUUGGUUGACUGUGAUAUGAAUGAGAUGUAACAGAGCAGGCUGGUGGGAGGAGCUAUAGGAGAAUGGGCUCUUUAUAGUGGCUGGAAUGGAACGGUGUCUGACCCACCAGCCACCACUGAGAUGCAAGUACAGGAAUUACAGUAUUUACCUUUGACUGAAAGCUGAGGGUAGCUGUUUUCUUUCUAAAAAGAGUAGAAUCGUAGGCUUGUCCUGCUGAGCUGAAUGAAAAAGGUCUCCAUAUUAUUUGAUUUAUGAUUUACGGCUGUACACACACAUACACACACACACACACACACACACACACACACACACACACACACACACACACACACACACACACACACACACACACACACACACACACACACACACACACGCACACACACACACACACAUUAAACACUUAAUGUGAGAGGAUACAGCAGUCAGUUAAUAUGGACAACCCUGUCAAUAUAUUCUUUAUUAUUCUAAUAAACAAUGAAUAUGUAUUAA